AGUGAACGCUGGCGGUAGGCCUAACACAUGCAAGUCGAACGGCAGCACAGUAAGAGCUUGCUCUUACGGGUGGCGAGUGGCGGACGUGUGAGGAAUACAUCCGAAUCUACUUUUUCGUGGGGGAUAACGUAGGGAAACUUACGCUAAUACCGCAUACGACCUACGGUUGAAAGCAGGGGAUCUUCGGACCUUGCGCGAUUGAAUGAGCCGAUGUCGGAUUAGCUAGUUGGCGGGGUAAAGGCCCACCAAGGCGACGAUCCGUAGCUGGUCUGAGAGGAUGAUCAGCCACACUGGAACUGAGACACGGUCCAGACUCCUACGGGAGGCAGCAGUGGGGAAUAUUGGACAAUGGGCGCAAGCCUGAUCCAGCCAUCCCGCGUGGGUGAAGAAGGCCUUCGGGUUGUAAAGCCCUUUUGUUGGGAAAGAAAAGCAGCAGGUUAAUACCCCGCUGUUCUGACGGUACCCAAAGAAUAAGCACCGGCUAACUUCGUG
rnacentral:rRNA from 1 species